rnacentral:rRNA from 1 species
UGGGGGAUAUUGCACAAUGGGGGAAACCCUGAUGCAGCAACGCCGCGUGAGUGAAGAAGUAUUUCGGUAUGUAAAGCUCUAUCAGCAGGGAAGAGAAUGACGGUACCUGACUAAGAAGCCCCGGCUAACUACGUGCCAGCAGCCGCGGUAAUACGUAGGGGGCGAGCGUUAUCCGGAUUUACUGGGUGUAAAGGGAGCGUAGACGGCUGGUCAAGUCUGAAGUGAAAGCCCGGGGCUUAACCCCGGAACGGCUUUGGAAACUGAGCAGCUAGAGUGCUGGAGAGGUAAGCGGAAUUCCUAGUGUAGCGGUGAAAUGCGUAGAUAUUAGGAGGAACACCAGUGGCGAAGGCGGCUUACUGGACAGUAACUGACGUUGAGGCUCGAAAGCGUGGGGAGCAAACAGG